rnacentral:rRNA from 1 species
GGACUACAGGGGUAUCUAAUCCUUCUUGCUACCCAAGCCUUCGUCCCUCAACGUCAGUUUUUACAUAGAAGGAUGCCUUCGCCGUUACCAGUCCCUCUGGUAUCAACAUAUUUUAUCACUACUCCAGAAGUUCUUCCUUCUCACAUAAAACUCUAGUAAAUAAGUACUCUACUCAAGUGUUAUUUACCGUCUAGGUACCCUUUAAACCUAAUAAAGAUGACUAACACUAGUCUUCUACGUAUUACCGCGGCUGCUGGCAC